CGGCGCGCCUGCUCUGGGCUCUCCGCGUGCCGCGUCGCUUUCUUUUCUUCCUCUGGAGCAGUUAUGGCGGCGGCGAAGACCCUGAACCCCAAGGCCAAGGUGGCCGGAGCGCAGGCGGCGCUGGCGUUCAACAUUAGCGGGGCGCGGGGUCUGCAGGACGUGCUGAGGACCAACCUGGGGCCCAAAGGGACCAUAAAGAUUCUUGUUUCUGGCGCUGGAGACAUCAAGCUUACUAAAGACACAGGAGUUGACGAUCAGCCCUGGCCAACAUGGUGAAACUCAGUCUCUACUAAAAAUACAAAAAUUAGCCGGGCACGGUCCUGCACAGUGCGCUGCUUCACGAAAUGGUCAAAUUCAACACCCAACAGCUUCCUUAAUAGCAAAGGUAGCAACAGCCCAGGAUGAUAUAACUGGUGAUGGUACGACUUCCAAUGUCCUAAUCAUUGGAGAGCUGCUGAAACAGGCAGAUCUCUACAUUUCUGAAGGCCUUCAUCCCAGAAUAAUCACUGAAGGAUUUGAAGCUGUGAAGGAAAAGCCCUUCAUUUUUUGGAAGAAGUCAAAGUAAGCAGAGAGAUGGACAAGGAAACACUUAAAGAUGUGGCC
rnacentral:lncRNA from 1 species